rnacentral:rRNA from 1 species
AUGAGCAUGGCCUUCUUCUCGCGCUGCAGCCGCCGGCCUUGUCCUGUUCGAGGAGGAGCAACAGCAGGAGGGGCGCACCCAGCCACCCAGUCCUUCCUGGUUCCUGCCACCGCCACACCCACUCGUCUCCUCCUCUCUCUUCUAGCUAACUCCUCCUUCUUAAUCUCUGCGCCGGCCGCAGUGCGAGAGGAGCAGCGGCGGCGGAGAUGCUCCGAUGGCGGCGCCGAGUUGCGAAGUGGCGGCGCUCGGGCGCGAGACAAUAAAAGCGGGAGCGACUACUCCAGGCCCCGAUCUGCGGGUCCGGUUCCAGGGCACCGACGACUUCGCCAUCUAUGA